rnacentral:misc_RNA from 1 species
AGAUCGAUGUGGUCGCUUAGCUCGUUGAUGAACUUCAAGAGGGUGUCGAAAUCCAUCUGUUCGUCCAUGAUCUUUCUGCGGUAUUGCUUCAAGAUGGCAACGCACAUGUACAGGUGGAAGUGCUCAGACAAGUAGUGUGUCCACAGUACUUCCCAAAGAUGCAUGAUCUUCUCGUAAGGAAAUUCCCUUUUGAACUGUAUAAGAAUCCAACGAAAGCAAAAGAAAUAGUUCAAGCAAUCAGCCUGCUUAAAGUAAUUGUGCAGCGGAUAGUCUAAAAGCUCCACCAGCUUAG